CUGCCAUAUCACGUUGAAAACAUUUUCCCGUACGUCCACCGAAGUUAAGCAACAUCGAGCCUGUCAAUACCCAGAUGGGUAGCCUUUUGGGAAUACCAGGUGCUGUAA